rnacentral:miRNA from 1 species
UGUGUGUGUACGGCUACGCGGGUAAGUCCGUGUUUAUAUAUACACGCGCGCACACACACACGCACAUACACACGCACGCACACACACAC